GGUCCUGGCUCAGUUGGUUGAGCGCUUACCCAGCAUGUGUGAGGCCCUGGGUUCGAUUCUCAGCACCA
rnacentral:tRNA from 1 species